CCUACGGGUGGCAGCAGUGAGGAAUAUUGGUCAAUGGACGAGAGUCUGAACCAGCCAAGUAGCGUGAAGGAUGACUGCCCUAUGGGUUGUAAACUUCUUUUAUAUGGGAGUAAAAUGUUCCACGUGUGGGAUUUUGUAUGUACCAUAUGAAUAAGGAUCGGCUAACUCCGUGCCAGCAGCCGCGGUAAUACGGAGGAUCCGAGCGUUAUCCGGAUUUAUUGGGUUUAAAGGGAGCGUAGGUGGAUUGUUAAGUCAGUUGUGAAAGUUUGCGGCUCAACCGUAAAAUUGCAGUUGAAACUGGCAGUCUUGAGUACCGUAGAGGUGGGCGGAAUUCGUGGUGUAGCGGUGAAAUGCUUAGAUAUCACGAAGAACUCCGAUUGCGAAGGCAGUUCACUGGACUGCAACUGACACUGAGGCUCGAAAGUGUGGGUAUCAAACAGGAUUAGAUACCCCAGUAGUC
rnacentral:rRNA from 1 species